GACGAACGCUGGCGGCGUGCUUAACACAUGCAAGUCGAACGGUAAGGCCCUUCGGGGUACACGAGUGGCGAACGGGUGAGUAACACGUGGGUGAUCUGCCCUGCACUUCGGGAUAAGCCUGGGAAACUGGGUCUAAUACCGGAUAGGACCACUGCCUGCAUGGGUGGUGGAAAGCUUUUGCGGUGUGGGAUGGGCCCGCGGCCUAUCAGCUUGUUGGUGGGGUGAUGGCCUACCAAGGCGACGACGGGUAGCCGGCCUGAGAGGGUGACCGGCCACACUUGGACUGAGAUACGGCCCAGACUCCUACGGGAGGCAGCAGUGGGGAAUAUUGCACAAUGGGCGCAAGCCUGAUGCAGCGACGCCGCGUGAGGGAUGACGGCCUUCGGGUUGUAAACCUCUUUCAGCACCGACGAAGCGCAAGUGACGGUAGGUGCAGAAGAAGGACCGGCCAACUACGUGCCAGCCGCCGCCGUAA
rnacentral:rRNA from 1 species